GAUGAACGCUGGCGGCGUGCCUAAUACAUGCAAGUCGAGCGAACGGACGAGAAGCUUGCUUCUCUGAUGUUAGCGGCGGACGGGUGAGUAACACGUGGAUAACCUACCUAUAAGACUGGGAUAACUUCGGGAAACCGGAGAUAAUACCGGAUAAUAUUUUGAACCGCAUGGUUCAAAAGUGAAAGACGGUCUUGCUGUCACUUAUAGAUGGAUCCGCGCUGCAUUAGCUAGUUGGUAAGGUAACGGCUUACCAAGGCAACGAUGCAUAGCCGACCUGAGAGGGUGAUCGGCCACACUGGAACUGAGACACGGUCCAGACUCCUACGGGAGGCAGCAGUAGGGAAUCUUCCGCAAUGGGCGAAAGCCUGACGGAGCAACGCCGCGUGAGUGAUGAAGGUCUUCGGAUCGUAAAACUCUGUUAUUAGGGAAGAACAUAUGUGUAAUUAACUGUGCACAUCUUGACGGUACCUAAUCAGAAAGCAACGGCUAACUACGUG
rnacentral:rRNA from 1 species